UAGCAUCCACCCUAGACCCUCAUUAAUAUCCCCAACAUCCCAUUGUCCCGAACCCUCUAAUCAAUCUCCAUCAUGAGGACAUCCAACCCCCUCCUCCUAUUGGGCCUAGCCACCCUCCCCACCCCCCUC
rnacentral:ribozyme from 1 species